UACGAAGGGGGGCUAGCGUUGUUCGGAAUUACUGGGCGUAAAGGGCGCGUAGGCUGUGCUGUAAGUCAGGCGUGAAAGCCCCGGGCUCAACCUGGGAAUUGCGCUUGAUACUGCGGCGCUGGAAGGUGGGAGAGGAUGGCGGAAUUCCCAGUGUAGAGGUGAAAUUCGUAGAUAUUGGGAAGAACACCGGUGGCGAAGGCGGCAUCUGGCCCAUUUUGACGCUGAGGCUGCGAAAGCGUUGGGGAGCAAACAGGAUUGAGAUACCGGGGU
rnacentral:rRNA from 1 species